ACGAACGCUGGCGGCGUGCUUAACACAUGCAAGUCGAACGAAGAGCGAUGGAAGCUUGCUUCUAUCAAUCUUAGUGGCGAACGGGUGAGUAACGCGUAAUCAACCUGCCCUUCAGAGGGGGACAACAGUUGGAAACGACUGCUAAUACCGCAUACGAUCUAAUCUCGGCAUCGAGGAUAGAUGAAAGGUGGCCUCUACAUGUAAGCUAUCACUGAAGGAGGGGAUUGCGUCUGAUUAGCUAGUUGGAGGGGUAACGGCCCACCAAGGCGAUGAUCAGUAGCCGGUCUGAGAGGAUGAACGGCCACAUUGGGACUGAGACACGGCCCAGACUCCUACGGGAGGCAGCAGUGGGGAAUCUUUCGCAAUGGACGAAAGUCUGACGGAGCAACGCCGCGUGAGUGAUGACGGCCUUCGGGUUGUAAAGCUCUGUUAAUCGGGACGAAAGGCCUUCUUGCGAAUAGUGAGAAGGAUUGACGGUACCGGAAUAGAAAGCCACGGCUAACUACGUG
rnacentral:rRNA from 1 species